rnacentral:rRNA from 1 species
GAAGGUGGCUAGCGUUGCUCGGAAUUACUGGGCAUAAAGCGCGCGUAGGUGGUCCUGUAAGCGGGGGAUGAAAGCCCAUGGCUCACCCAUGGAACUGUCCUUCGGACUGCAGGGCUGGAGGGCGGGAGGGGAGAAUGGAAUUCCCGGUGUAGCGGUGAAAUGCGUAGAUAUCGGGAGGAACGCCGGUGGCGAAAGCGAUUCUCUGGCCCGUUCCUGACACUGAGGCGCGAAAGCUAGGGGAGCAAACAGGAUUAGAUACCCUGGUAGUCCUAGCUGUAAACGAUGGGCACUGGGUAGAGGUGGUGUCGAUACCGUCUCUGCCGAAGCAAAUGUGUUAAGUGCCCCGCCUGGGGAGUACGGUCGCAAGGCUAAA